rnacentral:rRNA from 1 species
UACGAAGGUCCCAAGCGUUAUCCGGAUUUAUUGGGUUUAAAGGGUGCGUAGGCGGGUUAUUAAGUCAGUGGUGAAAGCCUUCAGCUUAACUGAAGAAUUGCCAUUGAUACUGAUGAUCUUGAGUAUGAUUGAGGUUGGCGGAAUGUGUCAUGUAGCGGUGAAAUGCUUAGAUAUGACACAGAACACCGAUUGCGAAGGCAGCUCACUAAGCCAUAACUGACGCUGAUGCACGAAAGCGUGGGGAGCAACAGG